rnacentral:misc_RNA from 1 species
GGACCGAACCGGGAGUAAUCAGUGUGGCGAGGAAUGUUUCUUGCAGUCAAUUCCCGACCGGGUGUGCAUGCCCCGGAUUGCGCCAAUUGACACAGUGGAGAAGAAAAUCGCUCUGGUUCCCGUUGUUCGGUCUUAUCGUCCUCGCAGUUUUUUCCGGUUCGGCGUCGGCAUCCAUCAUUUCCGGGAAUUAUCAGCUGAACUGGGACCAGACGUCGGAUACGACCGAAACGGGAACGACGGAUGUGAAGAAAUUCAAACAUGCCCUCGAGUUGAAAUACGCGGGUUUCCUUUCCCCGGUCGUCGCGAACAGCAUUACCUUCAAGGUGGAGCAGGAGGUGAACACCGACGCGGCUGACGUGGUUCGCCUCCUUCCGACGCUCGAACUCGGGUUCAAGGGGAGAUAUUGGGACGCGAAGGCGGGGUCGAAGCGGACAUAUGAGAAUUCCGACGAACUGGGGAAGAACCCGAAGACGACCGACAGCUAUUUUCUCGAGGUCUUCUACCUUGCCCCGAAGAGCGUGCCGGAUCUGAAGGCGAAAUACACGAUCGAUAUCGACAGCGAGGAAGGCACGACGGACACCCGGAAGGACGGGAUCACCCUUUCGUCCGUCUAUGCUCCGACCGAAUGGCUGAACAUGAAGGGGGAUUACACGCGGAACGUCCUCGAGGACAGGCUGAAGGCCGAUGCCGACACGGAAGAUGAAAAAAGCACCGGCACGGUGGGGUUGCGACACGCCAUCUCCGAUCAAGUGAAGGUGGAAACCCAGUACACCAC